UACGUAGGCAGCAAGCGUUGUUCGGAAUUACUGGGCGUAAAGCGUGCGUAGACGGUUAUGUAAGUCGGGUGUGAAAGCCCCGGGCUCAACCUGGGAAUUGCAUUCGAGACUGCAUAGCUAGGAUGCGGAAGAGGGAAGUGGAAUUUCCGGUGUAGCGGUGAAAUGCGUAGAUAUCGGAAGGAACAUCAGUGGCGAAAGCGACUUCCUGGUCCAGCAUCGACGUUCAGGCACGAAAGCGUGGGGAGCAAACAGG
rnacentral:rRNA from 1 species